GGGUUGUGAGGUUAAGCGACUAAGCGUACACGGUGGAUGCCCUGGCAGUCAGAGGCGAUGAAGGACGUGCUAAUCUGCGAUAAGCGCCGGUAAGGUGAUAUGAACCGUUAUAACCGGCGAUUUCCGAAUGGGGAAACCCAGUGUGACUCGUCACACUAUCAUUAACUGAAUCCAUAGGUUAAUGAGGCGAACCGGGGGAACUGAAACAUCUAAGUACCCCGAGGAAAAGAAAUCAACCGAGAUUCCCCCAGUAGCGGCGAGCGAACGGGGAGGAGCCCAGAGCCUGAAUCAGCAUGUGUGUUAGUGGAAGCGUCUGGAAAGGCGCGCGAUACAGGGUGACAGCCCCGUACACAAAAGCGCAUGUGCUGUGAGCUCGAAGAGUAGGGCGGGACACGUGGUAUCCUGUCUGAAUAUGGGGGGACCAUCCUCCAAGGCUAAAUACUCCUGACUGACCGAUAGUGAACCAGUACCGUGAGGGAAAGGCGAAAAGAACCCCGGCGAGGGGAGUGAAAAAGAACCUGAAACCGUGUACGUACAAGCAGUGGGAGCCCCACCACUAAGCCAGUGGUGAACUCCACAUACGCAUCCUUUGCUGAGGAUACGGUUAACGGAGCGCAAGCGACGUUCAACCGCAAAAGAAGCAGAGGGGGCUUAGUGGUGGGGUGACUGCGUACCUUUUGUAUAAUGGGUCAGCGACUUAUAUUCUGUAGCAAGGUUAACCGUAUAGGGGAGCCGCAGGGAAACCGAGUCUUAACCGGGCGUUAAGUUGCAGGGUAUAGACCCGAAACCCGGUGAUCUAGCCAUGGGCAGGUUGAAGGUUGGGUAACACUAACUGGAGGACCGAACCGACUAAUGUUGAAAAAUUAGCGGAUGACCUGUGGCUGGGGGUGAAAGGCCAAUCAAACCGGGAGAUAGCUGGUUCUCCCCGAAAGCUAUUUAGGUAGCGCCUCGUGAAUUCAUCUCCGGGGGUAGAGCACUGUUUCGGCUAGGGGGCCAUCCCGGCUUACCAACCCGAUGCAAACUGCGAAUACCGGAGAAUGUUAUCACGGGAGACACACGGCGGGUGCUAACGUCCGUCGUGAAAAGGGAAACAACCCAGACCGCCAGCUAAGGUCCCAAAGUCAUGGUUAAGUGGGAAACGAUGUGGGAAGGCCCAGACAGCCAGGAUGUUGGCUUAGAAGCAGCCAUCAUUUAAAGAAAGCGUAAUAGCUCACUGGUCGAGUCGGCCUGCGCGGAAGAUGUAACGGGGCUAAACCAUGCACCGAAGCUGCGGCAGCGAACGUAUCACUUAAAGCGAUUCAGCGGAUGACGAUUGACGGAGCGAAGCGACGUCAAAGCGUAUACAAAGUCGAGUCGGUUUAAGGAUACGUUCGUUGGGUAGGGGAGCGUUCUGUAAGCCUGCGAAGGUGUGUCGUGAGGC
rnacentral:rRNA from 1 species